rnacentral:rRNA from 1 species
GAUGAACGCUGGCGGCGUGCCUAAUACAUGCAAGUCGAGCGAACAGACGAGGAGCUUGCUCCUCUGACGUUAGCGGCGGACGGGUGAGUAACACGUGGAUAACCUACCUAUAAGACUGGGAUAACUUCGGGAAACCGGAGCUAAUACCGGAGAAUAUAUUGAACCGCAUGGUGCAAUAGUGAAAGACGGUGUUGCUGGCACGUAUAGAUGGAUCCGCGCCGCAUUAGCUAGUUGGUAAGGAAACGGCUUACCAAGGCAACGAUGCGUAGCCGACCUGAGAGGGUGAUCGGCCACACUGGAACUGAGACACGCUCCAGACUCCUACGGGAGGCAGCAGUCGGGAAUCUUCCGCAAUGGGCGAAAGCCUGACGGAGCAAGGCCGCGUGAGUGAUGAAGGUCUUCCGAUCGUAAAACUCUGUUAUUAGGGAAGAACAAAUGUGUAAGUAACUAUGCACGUCUUGACGGUACCUAAUCAGAAAGCCACGGCUAACUACGUG